AAUAUAUUUUAUUUUAGUAAAAAAUGUUUCUUUUUCUUCUUUUAUUUACAUGUUUAUUUUUGUGUAUUGUACUUAAAUAGUUAAAAUGCAGUAAUUAUAAUUAAGUAUUUUAGAAAUUUAGACUUAGAAAUUGAGCAUAGAUUUAACCAAUUUUGUGCCAGCAGUUGCGGUUAGACAAUAAAGUCAAAGAAAUUUUUAAGACAAAUUAAUUAUUUUAAUUAAAUGAUUAUGACUGAUAAUUUUAAGGUAAAAUUUUAAUUUUCAUUAUUUUUCUAUAAUAUUAAUUAAGAAAUUUUAAACUUAAAUUAGGAUUAGAUACCCUAUUAUUUAAAAUGUAAAUUUGUUGGAGUAGUAAAAGCUAUGAUCUUAAAACUCAAAUAAUUUGGCGGUAUUUUAUCUUAUUAGAGGAACCUGUUUAAUAAUUGAUAUUCCACAACUUUAAUUUACUUUUAUUAAAUUACUUGUAUACCGCUGUCAUGAAUCUAUUAAUAAAUAUAUUUUCUUUUUUUUUAUUGAAGUUAUGUUAGGUCAAGGUGCAGUAUGUAAAAGAACAAAAUGGGUUACAUUAAAUAUUAUGAAUGAAUUUUAAAUAUUUUAAUUAAUGAAAGUGGAUUUAUUAGUAAAGAUAAAUAAAGAUUUUAUAUGAAUAUAGAUUCUAAAAUAUGUACACAUUGCCCGUCGCUCUUGCUCAAAGUAAGAUAAGUCGUAACAUAGUAGGUGUACCGGAAGGUGUACCUGGAAGUGAG
rnacentral:ncRNA from 1 species